rnacentral:misc_RNA from 1 species
UCCGUAGGUGAACCUGCGGAAGGAUCAUUACUAGUUUAGGGUAUUCUGUGCCCAAACUUCAACCCUAUGAUUUACCAACUUGUUUCUUUGCCGGCGUCAAGCCGGCAAAAGGAUUCUCAAACUCAUUGAUGAAAAAUUGCAAUCUGAAAAUUUGAUCAAAAAUCAAAAGCAAAACUUUCAACAACGGAUCUCUUGGUUCUGGCAUCGAUGAAGAACGCAGCGAAAUGCGAUAAGUAAUGUGAAUUGCAGAAUUCAGUGAAUCAUCGAAUUUUUGAACGCAUAUUGCGCCCUUUGGCAUUCCGAAGGGCAUGCCUGUUCGAGCGUCAUUGCAACUCUCAAACCCAGGUUUGAUGUUGGGCCUUGUCGUCAAGACAUGCCUUAAAUUUAGUGAUGGUAACCUCUCUCCACAGGCGCACAGAUGCUGCCGUGAUGGUGUUUGCAGGUGGCCACUCAACCCCAAAAUUCUGAAUGUUGACCUCGGAUCAGGUAGGGAUACCCGCUGAACUUAAGCAUAUCAAUAAGCGGAGGAAAAGAAACCAACAGGGAUUGCCUCAGUAACGGCGAGUGAAGCGGCAAAAGCUCAAAUUUGAAAUCUGACCUUUCAGGUCCGAGUUGUAAUUUGUAGAGGAUGUUUCGGGUAAGAUCUAGGCCUAAGUUCCUUGGAACAGGACGUCAUAGAGGGUGAGAAUCCCGUACGUGGCUCAUGAUCGCACCCAUGUGAAACUCCUUCGACGAGUCGAGUUGUUUGGGAAUGCAGCUCAAAAUGGGUGGUAAAUUUCAUCUAAAGCUAAAUAUUGGCCAGAGACCGAUAGCGCACAAGUAGAGUGAUCGAAAGAUGAAAAGCACUUUGAAAAGAGAGUUAAAAAGCAUGUGAAAUUGUUGAAAGGGAAGCGCUUGAAGCCAGACUUGUUUAUAGGGUUCAGCCGUCGUUCUCGUCGGUGUAUUUCCCUAUUAUCAGGCCAGCAUCAGUUUGGGUGGAAGGUUAAAGGCCUUGGGAAUGUGACAUCCUCCGGGUUGUUUUAUAGCCCUUGGUGUAAUGCUUCCUACCUAGACUGAGGCACGCGUUCGCUAGGAUGCUGGCGUAAUGGCUUUAAGCGACCCGUCUUGAAACACGGACCAAGGAGUCUAACAUCUAUGCGAGUAUUUGGGUGUCAAACCCCUAUGCGUAAUGAAAGUGAACGGAGGUGGGAACCUUUUCGGUGCACCAUCGACCGAUCCUGAUGUCUUCGGAUGGAUUUGAGUAAGAGCAUAGCUGUUGGGACCCGAAAGAUGGUGAACUAUGCCUGAAUAGGGUGAAGCCAGAGGAAACUCUGGUGGAGGCUCGCAGCGGUUCUGACGUGCAAAUCGAUCGUCAAAUUUG